GUCAGGAUAGCUCAGUGGUAGAGCAGAGACUGAA
rnacentral:tRNA from 1 species